GCCCCAGUGGCCUAAUGGAUAAGGCACUGGCCUCCUAAAAAACCAGGGAUUGUGGGUUCGAGUCCCAUCUGGGGUG